rnacentral:lncRNA from 1 species
GCAGGGUUCCACGGAGGGGACAGAAGUCCCUCUGCAGAGGAGCCACAGACCGCUGACCCCAUCCCCCUCCUCCCCACACGUCCUCAGGAGCACCUAGCUGGGUCGCUGCCCAAGACCAGAAUUUGGGGGCCUGCAAGCCAAGGGCCUGGGCACCCUUGCCCUCACCGCCUUCCAGGUCUUUCUGAGACUCUGCCAGCCUGGAGAGGUCUCUGGCAGGCAGGCCAUUGGGAGGAGUGAGCUCACAGGGCUGUGGGUCCCCCCUGCCCUGCCCCCCUCCCCUGCCACUGCCCCUGUGGCCACAGAAUGGCCCCAGGCCUGGGAGGCUGGGCCCCGGGUCUGGGCACCCAUGACAUGCUCUGUUAACCUGAGCUGGUUGCAACAUGCAGAGCCCUUCUGGGAAAGUCUUCCAGCUCCCGCGAGAGGAGGGGGCAUUGCCAGUCGCUGGGGCGGGUGCAGGCCACCACGCCCAGGCCUCUGCGCCGAGCUGCCGUUCACUCAGGCUGCGCGCCGUGCGGGCCGGGCUGUGCGCCGGGGGCCCGUGUCCUGCCGUGUGUGAUCUGAGUGUGGACAUGUGCGUGCGGACCUGCGUGCUCUGUGUGUUUGCACAGAAGACACGUGCACGACCGAGUGUUUGCAGCAGCACCCUGAGGAACGGCCCUGAACGGGGAACCCUGCGCACCCCUGCUGAUGGCCUCCGCCGGGAGGAGGGACUGCCCCCCACUCCUGGGUGCCAGCACGCUGCGAUACCGCGCCACGGGAGCCACACCUGGAAGCCGGCCGGACCUGGGGCUCAGGCACACGUGGCACAGAAGAGGCCUGAUGCUCUGGGUUCUCGGGAGGUGGGGUGGUGGCCUGGGGGAGUGGGCCUCGGGCUGGGGGCGCCCCCGACUGCAGAGAGUAGACCCUGAGGCCCCGGGAGAAGCGACGGGUCGGGGCCAGCCCGGGGAAAGUGGACUGUGGGGUCUGGCUCUCAGCGGGCUCUGUGGACCUGAAGUUAAGCGUCAGAGCACCGGAAGCCUCGGCCAGAGGACGGAGUGAGGUCCGUGUCCUGCGGGGGCUGUGGGAGCCAGCUGAGCGGGGCCGGCUGGGGUGUGGUGGGAAGGUGGGGCUCCUUAACUCGUUCUGAGGACCUGCCUGGGCUCCGGGCCACUCCCAAGUGAUGGCCAGGGGCAUGGGGGUGGCUGCUGGGUGGCUGUGUGCCGAGUGGUGAGGACUCAGGAGGGUCCCUUGCCCCGAGGCUGGGAGCCGCCACUCACCCGACGAGGGGCAUCCUUGCAGGUUGGGAGACGAGACCCUAAAUCUUGGGGUUGGGAGACCGGGGUUCGAGCUGGUGUAAGUGAUAGUCCCCGCCGCAUUCCCAAGCUUCCUUUACGGCCUGUCUGAUCCCCGCCAGGCUGUGAGGAGCCCCCUCUCCAAAUGGGGGAACCAAGGCCCAAAGAGGCAGUGUCAUGUUCCCCAGCCACCCAGUGGGAAGUGGGAGCUGGGGCUUGACAUCACCAAGGACUAGCUCCCCAGGGCCCCGCAGCGCUGGCCACAGAGAUUUUUAUCUCGCAGCGGCCCCUGGAGCUCAGGCGGUGAGCAGCGGCCUCUGUAGGUUCAGGCUGGGGCAGGCGGGGCGAGGAGGGCCGCGCAGGGGCUGAGCUGCAGCGCUGGAAAUUCCACCCAGACCCGCCAGACAGGCAGCUCUCCCCCUGCCCGGACAGGAGCCGCCCUAGGGAGCCGACGGUGCCUGUAGGUCUGGGAGAGGCCCAUGCGGGCUCUGGUGCUAGGCCGGCCUGCCCCCAGGCUCCUUCUGGCCCCCAACCCCUGCAGGCCGCACCUGGCUGCCACUCUCAGGGUUUCUGAAGGACACGAGGAGACACUCUCCUGCACGCCGGGCAGGGGGCAGCAGGGACACAGGGCAGGGUGUGCUGGUGGCUGGAAGCAGAGCCAGAAGGGGUGCAUCAUGCUGACAGCCUCUCCUCUCAUCUCCUGGGAGGCCCAGGGCCAACCAGCCCACGGGUCAUGGUGCCAUGGGGAUGUGUGACCUCCUCAGGUGGGCAGGUGACAUGAACACUUUGGCCAAGGCCAAGUAGACAGAGUUAGUCUUCCAGGGCAGCACCCCAUCCGGGCCUCCACUCUCCGGGAAUGUGAGGAGGGUCCAAGGAAGGGGCAGGAGGUGGAGGGAGGUGGCAGUCGGGGGGUGGGGGAGGGGGUGAAGUCCGCAGCCUCCCGUGGUUUUGGGAAGAAGGUGUGGGUAGAAGGAGGUUGUGGUGCCAGGGCUCUGCGGGCCGGGCCUCCCCAGCAGGCUGCUCCGCAUCUGCUAGGAGUGCUGACAGCAGCUGUGGGGCCCCAGGGGCUCCAGAAGCCAAGGUCUGCUGGGUCUGGGGGUGUCGCUAUGGGGCUUGGGUCAGGGAGAAGCCCACAGGGGUGAGGAGCUGGGUUGCUAUCGCUGGGCCUGUGCAGCCUGUGCACAGGAGGGGGUGUCUGGGCGGCCGCUGGGGUGAGAUGCCUGAGCUCUGCUCCUUAGGGCCUCAGACGGGCUCAGGGGUACCCACCUCCUCCCCUCUGGAUGCCCAGAUUGGAAGGUCUCUGCUGGGGCUGAACCCCCGGAAGGAGCAGGUGGGAGGAAGGGCGGGUGGGUCAGCCACUCGAUGGCCCUGCGCACCUGCCACCUACACUGGGCAGAGGGCUAAAGCUGGGGGUGUCCAAGCAGGCAGCCCUGGCGUCGGUCCCCGUCCUGCCUGUAACCCCCGUGUGACCUGGGCACAUCGCUUCACCUCUCGGGGCCUCAGUUUCUCACUGGGGGGUAAUGGGACCCCGCCCCAUGGCAGGUUGUUUUAAGGCUCCUUUCUAUCAAGUGAUGCGUGUCCAGGUGACACCUGUGCAGGUGACACGUUCCAGGUGAUGGGUGUCCGGGCAAUGCGUGCCCAGGUGACAGAUACUCAGCCAAGAACCUGGCAGGCCGGGUGCUCAGCCAAGUGCAGACGGAGGCCCCCGUGUCCCCUGGCCGCGGUCCCUCCACGCGCACCCCCUUCCCCGCAGCCCGGGGGCUAACAGUGCUGCUCACAGGGGCGCCUCCUGUCCUGGCCAAGUACAGGGACCGGGGCUGCAAAGAUCCUUUGCACAAGGAAGGACCCUCCGCCCCCAAGUUUGAGGGCAAGGACUCAGGCUCCAACAGGCACACACUUGCAUUGCAGGGACACUCUGGGUCCACUGAGUCUUGGUGACUGUCCAGGGGCGGGGCCACUGGCCUCAUGCACAGAAGGCCUGCGCCGGGCACUACAGGGGGAUGCCCACAGCGGUGCGGGUUCCUGCCCUGCUCCUGGGCCAGCCCGGCCCCGGGCUCCUCCAGGGUCUGAGGCUGUGGUGGGGGAGCGGGGCUCCUCACCUCCUGGCCUCCCCUGUACCCCUCGGGUGUGCAGGUCCCGACCCGGCUCCUUCCCUGCGGUCACUCCUGUCUCUCUCCACCCACCCGUGGAACAACAACGACAGAGCAGUAAAGAUAGCAGUGGCGGCUGCUCCUGAGGGUCCCCUCUGUGCCGGGCGCUGUGCCAGGCUCCAAGCGCUGCAGGGGCGCUGCCGUGGCCCCCAGGUUUCUCCGAGGGAGCUGAGUGCAGAGAGGUUGCCCACGGGCUGUCUGUACCUCAACCCACCCUUUCCCAAGUGACCGUCACUGCGCCCUCCCUGCCUCCUGUCCGGCCCGCAGGGGGUCAGGCACACAGUCGGACACGCUCCAGGGUCCUCGGUGCGAGCCUUACGGAGCACCUGCUGCAGCCAGGCUUGGCGCCCCGGCCUCCUGCGGGAGCCGACUGGCCCAUUCUACAGAUUCGGGACUGAGCGAGCCUCGAAGCGGACAAGGCGCUCGAGUCUCUCUCCACUCUCGAGGGGCCUCUGUGGUGACGGCAACGCGUCCACGGCAGCUGUGGCCACAUCGCUUGUCUGGCUGUGCCUCAGUGUCCCUGUCCCUGAAGCAGACGGUGGGGGUGGACCCUGAGCCGGGCUCCUGCAGGCGCAAGAGUCCGUGCCCCCCGGUGCUGUCAGGACUCUUUGCCCUUGGUGGGUGCUCCGGUGACAACCGGCCGGCUGGUGGUCAGGGGCCAGCCUGGGAGCCCCGGUGCCGGGCACCCACUCACUGGUCUCCCAUUCGGCAUGAAGUAACUAUGAUAAGCCCAUUGCACAGAUGAGGAAGCUGAGGCUCGGGGCGACAUCACCUUUCCACGGUGGCCAGCUUGCCAGGGGCAGAGCCCAGGCCUAGCGACUCCCAGGUCAGUUCACGUCCAGGGACACGUCGCCGCUGGGGUGGUUUCUAACAUCGCCAGACACGCAGACCAGGGAUAGGCGUGCAUAAGUGAACGAUGCCCACACACACGCAGGGAGGCACCAGUAUCCUAACCGUGUGCUAGCACCCCGACACAUGCACGCCGUGCCCUCGGUGCCACCCUUGGCCACCCCCUGUGCAGGCACACAGCCCUGCAUUGGCUCACCGACAGCUGAACACACAUGUACACGCCGGCGCACGCGCACACCUGGUUGUGGCUCCCACGUGCACACAUGCACGGAGGACAAGGCAGGUGCGCGCUUGCUUGGCGGGCUCAGGUAACAGCGGGCCCUGCAACCUGACUCCUUGAGGACGGGCUGGCCCUCUGGGGCUGCACCCUUGCUGGCUUCCACCUUGAGGCCUGGUCAGGGGAGGCUGAGCAGGACCCAUGUCCCUGUUUGUCACCGUGUUUCAAGGGACACGGAGCGGGGGGCAGCUGAGUACCCCCCGGUGCCCAGCACUGAGCCGGGGGCGACCGGGCCGUGGAUGCCCCUCACCUCCACGGCUGCACCCCUCUGCUCUGUGGGGGUCUGGGCAGUGGGCAGGCCCAGGAUGGAGGGUCUGGCUACCAGCCCAUUCCCGGUGCCCCCGGAUCCUCACCAGAUGACGACUUCCUGGUGUGGUGGUGUCAGGCCGCCUGGCCUCUGCCCCGACCCUCCGCCCGGGAGUUUCCUUUGCCCGCUCAGCCCCCUGGACGGGGUGCCCUGGGGCAGGUGGCUGCGCCUCUCGUGCCGACCCCCGCCUCCUGCUCGGCGAGCGGAGACUGGGGCUCAGCCUUCGUGGCCAGCACCCCCGGGGGCCCCAGGCCCUCCCCCCCACCCCGGUUGUUGGAGCCGCCAGCCGCGGGGUCCCCAGCUACUCACACGGCCCCUCGGUGUGGCGACCUCUGCGACCUCGUGAGCCCAGCGCUCCCCACCUGAGGGAGACAGGAGUGAGCAGUGCGGGAACUUGCACGGGCAACAAGGCACAAUUUUGGCCAAACCCGCUUGACAGGUUCUUGGUUCUCUCAGCCAGGAGCAGAAGGGAGGCAGAGACUGCCCGAAGCUGCCCAACGGGUUCUGUCUCCGCGCAGAAAGUGGCAGGACGGGUCGGGGCUGAACCCACACAGACCCGGGAUUGUUUCCCCAUAGUUACCGUGUGGCCUGUGCCUCUGGCCUCCGCCGGACACCAGGGCCCGCGGGGAGGGGGCAGCAGGCCUUGUCGCCGUAGGGCAGGGCCUGUGGGGGCCCCUCUUGCCUACGUCCCCGCUCAGCAUGGGCUGACCUCCCUGACCUCAGUUUCC